UCAACUUUCUGUCAUUUUCAAGCAUCCAAAAGAGUUCUUAACGCAAAACCAAGAAAAAGAAAAGCAAGUGCCUUAGAUAGUCAAGAAACAACUUUUGAGCAUUGUUGACGAUUCUUGAGAAGACUUGAAGUGCCAAAAGUGCUUGAUCGAAGGGUAUGGUUGGCAUGGAAUUGAAUUUCAUCUGUCUGUGGGAAUUGUAAACAAGGGGACACAGGUUCGAUCCCUGGUCCGGGAAGACACCACAUGCCACAGAGCAGCUAAGCCCGUGUGCCACAACUACUGAAGACUGCGCACCUAGAGCCCGUGCUCCGCAACAAGAGAAGCCACUGCAAUGAGAAGCCCGCACACUGCAACGAAGAGUAGCUCCUGGUCUCCGCAACUAGAGAAAGCCUGCACGCAGCAAUGAAGACCCAAUGCAGCCAAAAAUAAAUAAAUUAAAUAAAUAAAUAAAUAAAUAAAAUACAUAUACUACUGCACCAUCUGUGGUUGGUUGAAUCCUCAGACGUGGGACCACAGGUAAAGAGGGCU